AUUGAACGCUGGCGGCAGGCCUAACACAUGCAAGUCGAACGAGUGGCGGACGGGUGAGUAAUGUCUGGGAAACUGCCCGUUGGAGGGGGAUAACUACUGGAAACGGUAGCUAAUACCGCAUACCAUCGGAUGUGCCCCGAUGGGAUUAGCUAGUAGGUGGGGUAACGGCUCACCUAGGAGACGAUCCCUAGCUGGUCUGAGAGAAUGACCAGCCACACUGGAACUGAGACACGGGCCAGGCUCCUACGUGAGGCAGCAGUGGGGAAUAGUGCACAAUGGGCGCAAGCCUGAUGCAGCCAUGACGCGUGUAUGAAGAGGGCCUUCGGGUUGUAAAAUACUUUCAGCGAGGAGACGUUACUAGCAGAAGAAGCACCGGCUAACUCCGUACCAGCAGCCACGGUAAUUC
rnacentral:rRNA from 1 species